AACAACAAAAAAAAACCCCAACAACACCCAUAUUCUCUUUUUUAUGUGGCAGUUGUACAAUGAGUCUGUGGACAGACCACUUUGACUCUUGCUAUUUUAGUAUUUAAAAAGGAGUACCAGAAUACAACUCUUAAGACCAGUAUCUUUCUUACUACCAUUUUAAAGCCAAUCUUUGGGCUUUAGCACCAAGCACUUUUACAAAAACUACCUGAGCCUUUUAAUUCUUAAAUUUCUUCAUCUUGAGCACCAGCUCAGGAUUGCCAUAGAAGGAUUAAAUAAGAGGACAUGUGCUGAGGAGCUUUUGAAAAUUAAAGGCCACCUCAUUAGAUUAUUAUAUAAAAUGCACUGUUUAAUUCUGCUACUAAUUAAAAGUAGUUUGAAAAAGCACCCUAGAGUGAGGACUUAUCUUAGAAAUGAGGGGCCAAGAUCUAAUCAUUUUUCUGAGCAUAAACUUCAACAGUGAGAUGGCUGCCUAGUAAAAACAAUAUCCCAGCCUCUAGUAUACAGAGUGGUGACUAAAUAUAUUAAUAUGAAACUUCUGAAGCAAAUAAGAAGUCAUCACAACAGCAGUUCCUCCUAGUCACUGAUAAAGAAUACUAUUACUCUGAGAAGAAUGUCAAAAGAUCUGCCCAUGUGAAUGCAGUUUGCACUACCACCUCUUUGGACAGCUGUAAGAAGAGAUUCUGGAUGUUUACAAUACUGAAUGAAUUUGGAGCUGGUUCUGUACAUGACUCAAGAGGAAGAAUAACACCUUUUAUAUGGCCACACUGAUGACUGCUAGAGAACAUCGAAAGGACACUCAGAGCAUGUGAGAUUUGAGGACUGCAAGCAGCUGAAAGAAGCUACACAUUCAGCAGACCUUCCCUUUUGAGAGUCUGGACAAGCUCCAGAUGUUCCUCAGAAGAACAGGCUUGUUGCUUUGCAGUGUUAGUGACCUUUUCCCUUUGACGAUCCCCAGGUGGAGAUGGGGCAUGAGGAUCCUCCAGGGGAAAAGCUCACUGCCACUGGGCAACAACCCUGGGUCGGGAGAUUUUACUAAGAUUCUUUCCUGGGUCCAGAUAGGAGAGUGAAGACUCAAAGACAACCACCGCACAUCAAGAUGGGAGAACAUGGACAACAACUACCACUGCAACAACACUGAUCUCCUAAGCAAAUCAUUCUGUUCCAUGUGGUCCCCAAAAUCUCCUUUGAAGCUUUACAGGGGAACUGUGCCAGGCAUUCACAGACUUCAAGGAUGUAACACACAAUCAGCGGUUUGAGAAGAUAAAAGAGAACUGUAUCUCUAUAUGCUAUGCAUGCGGAUUGGCAGAAGACUAAUAAUAAGUACAACUGGAAAUCUGACCAAAAAUGGUAUAGGGUUAUCUCACAUUGGGCAGCAUCUACAGAACCAGGACCCUACACUCUCUAGCUCUCGAUUGAUAAUAUCUGACAAACCAUUAUCCUUCCCAAAAGCAGUACAGAGAGCUGGAUCAUCAUCAGGAUAAAGAAAUGAGAAGACAUCAAAAGGAGCCAAGUUUUCUAUCUGAAGAUCAACAUGCCUGACACUAGCAUUUCAGAACAGCAGAAUUAAGUAAGCUGUUGGGGUUGCAAUCCUAUUUUGUGCCUCUUAUGUCCCUCUCUGUGUCUCGUCUCUAGUCCUUCUUAGUCUCCUCCUGUGAUGGUCUGCCUUUGUUUAUCUCUUUCGCUCCUAAGUGUGCAUUUCUUUGCUUGUCUAUUUCUUCCUUGCUCUUUCUUCUCUAACUUGAGUAGUGUCUGAAUCAGCUCCAUGUUUCUCUUGCUAAUUUCUUCUGUGUGUGCCUUGUCUCACUUUCUCUUUUUGUUCCUAAGUGUGGUCUAUGCACUGUCUUAAAUGGAUCUCUCUAGUUUUUGUUUGCUUGC